AAUGUAUGUCAGCCUAACAGCGUCGCAUCGUGCGACAACGGCUGCCUGACCACGUCCUGUGG
rnacentral:sRNA from 1 species